UACGGGGGGGGGCAAGCGUUGUUCGGAAUUACUGGGCGUAAAGGGCUCGUAGGCGGCCAACUAAGUCAGACGUGAAAUCCCCAGGCUUAACCUGGGAACUGCGUCUGAUACUGGAUGGCUUGAGAUUGGGAGAGGGAUGCGGAAUUCCAGGUGUAGCGGUGAAAUGCGUAGAUAUCUGGAGGAACACCGGUGGCGAAGGCGACAUCCUGGACCAACACUGACGCUGAGGAGCGAAAGCCAGGGGAGCAAAGCGGG
rnacentral:rRNA from 1 species